CAAGUCGAGGGGCAGCAUGAGGUAGCAAUACCUUGAUGGCGACCGGCGCACGGGUGAGUAACACGUGUGCAACCAACCCCGUACCGGGAGAUAACCCGCGGAAACGUGGACUAACAUCCCAUGAUACUCGAGAGCCGCAUGGCUCUAGAUUUAAAAUUCCGGUGGUACGGGACGGGCACGCGCGACAUUAGGUAGUUGGCGGGGUAACGGCCCACCAAGCCGACGAUCGGUAGCCGACCUGAGAGGGUGAUCGGCCACAUUGGGACUGAGACACGGCCCAAACUCC
rnacentral:rRNA from 1 species